rnacentral:rRNA from 1 species
AUUGAACGCUGGCGGCAGGCCUAACACAUGCAAGUCGAACGGUAACAGGAAGAAGCUUGCUUCUUUGCUGACGAGUGGCGGACGGGUGAGUAAUGUCUGGGAAACUGCCUGAUGGAGGGGGAUAACUACUGGAAACGGUAGCUAAUACCGCAUAACGUCGCAAGACCAAAGAGGGGGACCUUCGGGCCUCUUGCCAUCGGAUGUGCCCAGAUGGGAUUAGCUAGUAGGUGGGGUAACGGCUCACCUAGGCGACGAUCCCUAGCUGGUCUGAGAGGAUGACCAGCCACACUGGAACUGAGACACGGUCCAGACUCCUACGGGAGGCAGCAGUGGGGAAUAUUGCACAAAGGGCGCAAGCCUGAUGCAGCCAUGCCGCGUGUAUGAAGAAGGCCUUCGGGUUGUAAAGUACUUUCAGCGGGGAGGAAGGGAGUAAAGUUAAUACCUGUACUCAUUGACGUUACCCGCAGAAGAAGCACCGGCUAACUCCGUG